AUGGGUGCCUGGCUCCUGGGCCGUGAGAUGCUUUUCCUCCUGGUGUCAGGCCAUGGAGCAGCAGAAGUGACCCAGUCCCCUAGAUACCGCAUCACGUUGCACAAGAGGGAGCAGGUGUUGGAGUGUUCUCAGAGCACAAACCACAACGCUAUGUACUGGUAUCGGCAAGACCCAGGCCUGGGCCUGAAGCUGAUCUACUACUCCCGUAAUGUUGGCUUAACUGAGAAGGGAGAUGGUUCUGAGGGAUACGAGGUCUCCCGAAAAGACAAGGAGAGUUUCCCCCGACCCUGA